rnacentral:rRNA from 1 species
GACGAACGCUGGCGGCGUGCCUAAUACAUGCAAGUAGAACGCAGUUGCGAACGGGUGAGUAAUGCGUAGGUAACUGCCUCAUUGCGGGGGAUAACUAUUGGAAACGAUAGCUAAUACUGCAUACUGCGCGAUGGACCUGCGUUGUAUUAGCUAGUUGGUGGGGUAAAGGCUCACCAAGGCGACGAUACAUAGCCGACCUGAGAGGGAGAUAGGACACACUGUGACCGAGACACGGCCCAGACUCCGACGGGGAGCAGCAGUAAGGAAUAUGCGGGAAUGGACGAAAGGCUGACCGAGCAGCGCCGCGGGAGUGAGGAAGGUGGACGGAGCGAAAAGCUCUGAUAUUAGAGAAGCGGUAACUAACCAGAAAGGGACGGCUAACUACGUGCCAGCCGCCGCGGUAAUAC